UCGGUUGCGUUUGGGAUUGUUAUUGUGUUGGUCGCUAGUUCGAAAUGUUUAACAUUGUUCAAACUAAUAUUAAUACAUCAAUUGAAUUCCAUAUACUGUUUUGCAGUGUAUAAAAUUAUUAAAACUUAGAUUCUACGUUAUAUUAAUACAAAAUGAAAAUUAUGUUGAACUUAUUAUUUUCUUUGUGGUGUCAAUCAGAACGGCUAAAGCCGUUCUCGGUCCAUCUUGCCUAUGUUGAACUUUAUUGCAGAGUUGUGUAUGGAUAAGUGGUAAAAGGCGAAAAGGAUGCUGACAUCGAUACACUUGUGUCCAUACAAGUGAAUCAAAUUAAAAGCUUUUCUGCACCUUGAUGAAUGAAAGUGCUAACGAAACAAGAGCUAACUGAUAUAGGAAAAAUUGGUAAAACGAGACAAGUUUACCUGAAACUUCUAAUGGUUUAAUAAAUAAAAGUUCGUCGAAACAUUGAAUUCGCAAAUCGAAGUGUUUAUGUUUGUAGGUGAUAAAUAAAAGUGAAUUACAAAGAAAAUUUUUCUGUACCAUAAGGUAUGAAAGUUCAACGUAAAAUGAGUGUAAUGAAAUCCUAUGCUAAUGCUAAAUAGUUUUACCCCCUGUUAAGGGUUACAAAGAAAAGUGUGAAACAAAUUCACCUUGGCAAAUAAUGCAUUACUGAAAAAGCAGGCCUUCUGAUUUUGUACGAGUAGAGUUACUAUUGGACUAUACUCGUGGAUUAAAAUAAUUUUCAAUAUAACGAACUGAUCAACGAUGGUAUGACGAAUCAUAGAACAACACAAGUUAUUUUGAUUUACUCAAAAUGAAGCUUCCAGAAACUCGAGCGGCAACUUUAACACUAAUCGUUAUUCAAGUACUAUUAGCUUUAUGGCGAUGCGUCAGCGGCUAUAUGGUUAUCGUCAGUGAAAGUGAUGAGCCUGGGAAAAUAGUUUUUAAUGCAUCAGUGUACAAACUUGGAUCCGAGCGGCAUUAUAAGAUUAAUGCACAUAAGUCCGCCCAUUUUGUUCAUCAUUUACUUAAGGUUGACCCGCAUAAUGGACAAAUCUGGUUGAGGAAAUCUUUGAAAUGUGAUGGUAUCUAUUAUCCUAACUUAUUCACGUUUUAUGUGGAUUCUACUUCAAAUAGACUUCGAAGUAUAGAUUAUUAUAGCUUACCAUUACGUUUAUUCAUCGCUGGAUCAAAUUGUACGGAUGAUAAGGUUGCCGAAGGCUUUAGAAAAAAUUUCGAGGAAGAUGACACAGGCUACAAUCGAAGGCGAAAACGAACAAUAGACGAACAUGAUCUACGAACGUAUGGCCAAUACCUGGGAAGUAAUAAUGCUAAUUACUAUACCCAACAUUCACAUUCAGUGACUAACUAUACUGCCUUUCAAGAUGGUGAUAUUCUUUUUGAUAAUAGCAAGAAAAACAAACUUCGUCAUGUAAUAAUUGUAAGAAAAAAACGUGGAAUGAUUGAGCCGGGCGAAGAACGAAUGCACCGUCAAAUUAACGACGCCAAACAGUGGAUAUCAGAAACGUAUGCCUCCUAUGCCAUCCACACUACAGAUAAAUGGAACAAGAUUUGUCUAAAAAAGUCUCAGUAUAUUAAUUCAAUAAACUCAUUUUUGCCGAAAACUGUUUUGCAAUAUUGUUUCGUGAAAUAUUUAGACGUUAACGAUGGUAGAUUUAAAAUCGAGACUCUAUCAGGCGAUUUAGUAGUUUCUGAUGAUCUAUGCAUAUCAGAAUCGCUAUGGAAAGUAUCCGUUACUUAUAAUGUAAAAUGUGAUCGUAGGGAUAUCAUUGACGCAGACCAUCGAUUAAAGAUAGUUUAUCAUCAUCAUGAACUGAACGACACAGAUAUAGCGAAACGUGUUAAACGAGAACUUAGAAAUCAAAGCCCUUAUUUUGAGCAGGCAUUAUACGUUGCGUCAGUGCAAGAAGAACAAACACCAGGCACAGCAAUCACAACAGUUCGUGCUCGAGAUCCUGAGGAUUCUCCUGUAGUUUACUCAAUGGUGUCGUUAUUGGAUUCCAGGUCACAAUCAAUGUUCAAAGUAGACGCGCGCACGGGUAUCGUAACUACGGUAGCUAGCCUUGAUCGCGAAUUAAUGGACGUUCAUUAUUUCCGAGUGAUUGCUACUGAUGACAGUUUCCCACCACGAUCAGGCACUACCACGCUUCAGGUUAAUGUAUUAGAUUGUAAUGAUCACGCCCCAACAUUCGAGUCCGAGGAGUUUCAAGCCAGUAUUCGAGAAGGAACCAGUGUAGGAUCGACCGUUAUUACCAUUCGUGCUACGGACCAGGAUAUUGGUAAAAAUGCUGAAAUCGAAUAUGCUUUAUUAAGUAUAAGUAGUGAUGGUGCUAUAACUGUUGACCAAGACGAGCAGGUAUUCCGAAUAGAUGCCCGCAGUGGAACAAUAUCAACUCGCAGUGCAUUGGAUCGAGAAACAUCGGAUGUUUAUACAAUCAUUGUCAGUGCCACCGAUAUGGCCACCCCUCAGAUGGAAAGAAAAUCUGCAACAGCAACAGUAUUGGUGAAAAUUUUAGACGAUAAUGACAACUAUCCACAAUUCACCGAAAGAACGUAUACUGUGCAAGUGAAGGAAGAUAAAUGGGCAAAUGAGAAUAACGUUAUCGCACAUAUUCAUGCUACAGACUCGGAUCACGGAAAUAAUGCCGCUAUUAGAUAUGCAAUUAUCGGCGGCAACACACAAUCUCAGUUUUCGAUCGAUUCUAUGAGUGGAGAUGUGUCACUUGUGAAACCAUUAGAUUACGAAAGUGUUCGAAGCUAUCGAUUAGUAAUUCGAGCUCAAGAUGGUGGAAGUCCAUCGCGCAGUAAUACUACGCAACUACUGGUGAACGUCUUGGAUGCGAACGACAACGCACCACGAUUUUAUACAUCCCAGUUCCAAGAAGCAGUUUUGGAGAGCGUUCCCGUUGGUUAUAAUAUCGUUAGAGUGCAAGCCUAUGACUCAGACGAAGGAGCCAACUCCGAAAUUUCGUAUAGUAUACGCGACAGAGAAGAUAACUUGCCAUUGACGGUUGACGCCAGAACUGGAUGGAUUCACACCACCAAGUCAUUAGAUCGCGAAGAACAAAGUCGUUACAGUUUACAAGUUGUUGCUGUAGAUGGUGGAAUACCACCAAAAUCGGCUAGUACCUCUGUCGUCGUAUCAAUUCAAGAUGUAAACGACAACGAUCCAACUUUCAAUCCAAAAUAUUAUGAAGCCACCAUUGCAGAAGAUCAGCCGCCUGGUAGUCCCAUAGCUACGGUUACCGCUACAGACCCUGAUGAAGAUUCACGAUUGCAUUACGAAAUAUCUGCAGGCAACACAAGAGGUCGUUUUUCAAUAACAUCACAAAAUGGACGUGGUUUAAUAACGAUUGCUCAGCCUCUGGAUUACAAACAAGAAAGAAGAUUUGCAUUAACUAUUACUGCAACCGAUAGCGGCCAGCGAACUGAUACGGCUAUCGUGAAUAUCAAUAUAACUGAUGCUAAUAACUUUGCGCCAGUAUUUGAGAAUGCCCCCUACUCAGCGUCGGUUUUCGAAGAUGCACCUAUUGGUACUACGGUUUUAGUAGUAUUCGCUACGGAUAGUGACGUUGGAAUCAACGCUCAAAUUACAUAUAUAUUGAAUGAUGAAUCUGUAAAUGGACUUGGAAAUAAUGAACCGUUCAGUAUAAAUCCACAAACAGGAGCUAUAGUUACAAAUGCUCCUAUUGAUAGAGAAACGACUAGUGGUUAUCUGUUAACAGUCACAGCUAAAGAUGGUGGAAACCCGUCACUUAGCGAUACGACUGAUGUUGAGAUUAGUGUUACAGAUGUAAACGAUAAUGCACCUCAAUUCAAAGUUCCACUUUACCAAGCGACCAUAGCAGAAGAUGCUUUGAUAGGAACAUCAGUUGUUCAGAUUGCCGCCACUGAUAUAGAUAUGGGAUUAAAUGGUAGAGUAAAAUAUACACUCAGUCCUAAAGACUUGGAGGAUGGCUCGUUCAUAGUCGAUCCAGUUUCCGGCAUUAUAAGAACCAACAAAGGCCUCGAUCGUGAGAGCAUAGCUGUCUAUCAUCUCAUAGCAAUUGCAACAGAUAAGGGUACACCGGCUCUUAGUAGUUCAGUAGAAGUACAAAUUCGAUUAGAUGAUGUCAAUGAUUCACCUCCUACGUUUCCUUCGGAUAAAAUUACGUUGUAUGUACCGGAAAACAGCCCAGUUGGAUCGGUAGUAGGUGAGAUUCACGCACACGAUCCGGAUGAAGGAGUAAAUGCGAUAAUUCAUUAUUCAAUAAUCGGUGGCGAUGAUUCAAACUCAUUUUCUCUAGUCACAAGACCCGGUUCAGAAAGAGCACAACUAUUAACUAUGACUGAACUAGAUUAUGAAUCAACCAAAAAACGAUUUGAAUUGGUUAUACGGGCUGCUAGUCCACCGUUGAGGAAUGACGUACAUGUGGAGAUUCUUGUGACCGACGUAAACGAUAACGCCCCAGUUCUUCGAGACUUCCAAGUAAUAUUCAACAAUUUUAGGGACUGUUUUCCCAGUGGAAUUAUUGGAAGAAUACCAGCAUUCGAUGCAGAUGUAACAGACAAAUUAACAUAUCGAAUAUUAUCAGGAAAUAAUGCAAAUUUAGUAAAGCUAAAUAACUCAAGCGGUGGUUUAAUGUUGAGCCCACAAUUAAAUACAAACGUUCCAAAAUUCGCUACAAUGGAAGUUUCAGUAUCCGAUGGCAUUAACGAAGCAAAAGCUAUUAUGCAACUGAUGGUUCGACUAAUCACAGAAGACAUGCUUUUUAAUUCAGUUACCGUGCGCCUAGACGAAAUGACCGAGGGAGCGUUUCUAUCGCCAUUGUUGAACUUUUUUGUCGAUGGUCUUGCUGCCAUUAUACCAUGUCCUAAGGAAAAUAUAUACCUAUUCUCGAUACAAGAUGACACUGAUGUGAAUUCCAGAAUACUCAAUGUUAGCUUCUCAGCCCGCCGCCCGGAUGUGUCGUUUGAAGAGUAUUACACACCUCAAUACCUCCAAGAAAGGGUUUAUCUAAAUCGAGCAAUUUUGGCUCGUUUGGCUACUGUACAAGUUUUGCCAUUUGAUGAUAAUAUUUGUGUUCGAGAGCCUUGUUUGAACUACGAACAGUGUUUAUCAGUUCUAAAAUUUGGUAAUGCAUCCGGUUUCAUUCAUAGUGAUACAGUACUGUUCAGGCCAAUUUAUCCUGUAAACACAUUUGCGUGUAAAUGCCCUGAAGGUUUUACUGGUAGUAAAGAGCAUUACUUGUGCGAUACUGAAGUGGACCUAUGUUACUCUGAACCGUGUCAAAAUGGCGGCAGUUGUAUUCGGAGAGAAGGAGGAUAUACAUGUGCUUGUACAGAACUAUUCACUGGUAUCAUUUGUGAAACUGAGAUAAGAAACUUAAAACCGUGCGUAGCCGAUACAUGUAGUGAUGGGUAUAACUGUCUCACACAUACUUUGAAUAUUCCACAUAGCCCAUCAUACACAAGAACGUGUGAACUCGUUUCGAGGUCGUUUACGAAAAAUUCGUUUCUCACGUUCCCUAGUUUGAAACAGAGGCAUAGAUUCAACAUAAGGUUGAACCUGGCAACGGUUCGUGACAACGGGUUGAUACUUUAUAAUGGCAGAUACAAUGAACAGCAUGAUUUCAUAGCCCUAGAAAUCAUCAACGGACGUGUUAUGUUUUCGUUCUCCCUUGGUGACAAAAUUGAAUCAGUUAUGGUGGAUGACAACAAAAGAUUAUCUGAUGGAAGCUGGCACUCAAUUGAAGUGAACUAUUUCAACCGCUCUGUGAUGCUUUCGGUUGAUAAUUGUGAUACAGCAUUGGCCUUGGCCGAUCUUGGUGAGCGUUGGAACUGCGCUAACCAAACUACGGCUAUACUGGAUCGCAGAUGCACAUCUUUAACAGAAUCAUGUCACCGGUUUCUAGACCUUACUGGACCUUUGCAGAUCGGUGGCCUUCCAAAAAUUCCUGCUCAUUUUCAGAUACAAUCACACAACUUCAUCGGAUGUAUUUCGGAUUUGUACAUCGAUCAUAAAUAUAUUGAUCUUAAUUCAUUCAUUGCCGAUAAUGGGACUAUUGCAGGCUGUCCUCAAAAGUCAGCUUCGUGUGCUUCGGAGCCUUGCUUUAAUGGCGGAACUUGUCGAGAGGGCUGGGGCGAAGGCUGGGAAUGUGACUGUCCCGACGGAUUUACUGGCAAUGCUUGUCAAGAGUCAGUCACUUUGCCUUGGCGUUUCAAUGGAGAUGGAAUAUUGAGUUUCAAUCCCUUGCUACGACCUAUUCAAUUACCUUGGUUAACUGCAUUGUCUGUUAAAACAAGGCAAAAGGAUGCUUUUCUAAUGCAGGUGCAAGUAGGUCAAAAUAGCUCUGCAGUUGUGUCCUUACACAAUGGUAUUUUAUAUUAUACAUACGAUUCGGAACCUAUGUUCUUGGCAGGAACAAAUCUCGCAGACGGCAAAUGGCACCGGAUAGAAAUAAAAUGGCUUGGUACAGAAGUAUCACUUUCAAUAGAUUAUGGCCAACGGACGGGUGUUCUACCAAUGAUGCAGAAAAUCCAGGGUUUGUAUGUUGGACGUAUCGUGAUUGGCGGAUCUGAAGGUAGUGGAACGGUUUAUGGAAACUAUGGGUAUUUUGAAGGUUGUAUUCAAGAUAUUCGCGUAGGAGGCAGUCAGUCAGUCUUGAAUCGUCCAACCAUUCGAGAGAAUGUGAUCGAUGGGUGCACUUCAAAUGCAAAGUGUCCGAAUAACUGUCCGGAAUAUUCAACAUGUGUAACAACUUGGGAUGAGGCUCGUUGUGAAUGUAAUCAUGGUUAUGUAGGAGCAAAUUGUUUGCCUGUGUGUACAGCUAAACCUUGCGCGGAUAACGGUUACUGUCGAAGUGACAUGUCAAACAAAAAGGGAUAUCGGUGCGAAUGCAAUAGUACGGCGAGUUUUGGUGAAUAUUGCGAAGUCACUACUCAGCACCCAUGUCCUGCUGGAUGGUGGGGUGAACGAGGUUGUGGACCAUGUAAGUGUAAUUUGAAGCAAGGUUAUCAUCCCGAUUGCAAUAAAAUGACAGGUCAGUGCUACUGCCGAGAAAAUCAUUAUCAACUACCUAAUGAUACAACCUGUUUGCCAUGUGAAUGUUACGCAAUUGGAUCGUACGGAAAAUCUUGCAAUAGUUCCGGACAAUGUGAAUGUCGUGAUGGAGUUAUUGGACGAAGAUGUGAUUCAUGUUCCAAUCCAUAUGCGGAGGUAACAUUGAAUGGAUGCGAAGUGAUAUACGAUGCUUGUCCAAAAUCUUUCUCGGCUGGGUUGUGGUGGCCCAGAACAGCUUUUGGUGAGAUGGCUGUCGAAAACUGUCCUUCACCAGCAAGAGGAAAAAGUAUACGCAAAUGUGAUUUAAUGCAAGGAGGCUGGGGCCAAUCUGAAAUGUUCAACUGUACGUCCGAGCAAUUUUUGGAUCUUCGAAAACAACUUUCUCAAAUCGAAGCUGAGGGAUUGGAACUAAAUUCUUUUGUAUCCGUCAAAAUAGCAGCUAAUUUACAGCGUGCUUGUGAUAGUGUAGCGCGAGGAUCAGAUAACCGCAAACAAUCCAGUCUGUUAAGGGAUAUGUAUAUGUUAGAAUCGUCUUUCGCUUUUAAUAACGCUUUGUGGCAAUCGGAUGAACUCGAAUUCGAUUAUUUAAGUGAUAUGCAAAAUAACAAACAGGACAAACUGUAUGGUGCUGAUCUUCUGAUAACUGAGCGACUGUUACAUGAGUUAAUUAAUUAUGAAAUCCGUCAGAAUGGUUUGAAUUUAUCUCACAGUCAAGACAAGCAUUUCAUCAGAAACUUAAUCGAAAGUGCUAGUACUAUACUAGAUUCUCGUUAUCAUCAAGAAUGGAAACGCCUGACAGAAUUAACCCAACGAGGACCAAAUGAUUUGAUAGAAGCAUUCAACAAAUACAUGACGGUAUUGGGACGAUCACAGCAUGACACCUAUACUAAUCCGUUUGAAAUUGUUCACGAGAAUAUGGCUUUUGGAUUAGAUAUUGUGACAACCGAGUCAUUGUUUGGGUACGAACCACAGUUGUUAACUGGAUCUCCAAAACACAACAGCAACACCAAUGUAUUUACCACGGAAAGUGUAAUUCUGCCCGAUACUAGUUCAUUCUUGAUGCAUUCUAAUAAAUAUAAAAACCCACAGAUAUCAUUUCCGAAGUACAAUAAUUAUAUUCAAGAUAAGAGCAAGUUUGACCGACACAGUAGAAUUAUAGUUCCACUUAAUAUGCUGGGCAUUUCACAACCGGAUAAAAAUGAAGUGACCAAUUUUAUCAGUGAUUAUCGCGCUAUUGUUUGUUAUGCGCAGUACAAAGAAGUUGGAUUAUUGUUUCCGACAAAUUUCGAUGAGACUAUCACUCGACGAUGGGGUGUUGAUGUACAAAUCGCUAGUCCAGUGAUUUCUCUCGCAAUCCUUGUUCCUAAUAUCACUGACAAGUUUGAUGAUAAAGCUAUGUUGGAACGAGAUGUAAAUAGAGUAUAUAAAAAACAAUCUGAUAAGUUGACUGAACUACUGCACGAGCAAGAUAAUGAGAAACAAACAAAUCAAAUUGAAAUUUCUAUACAUGAUAUGAGCGAACAUAAUAAUCUUGCAAACCUAGACGAACAGCGGGAGAUUGUUAUGAGCUUCGACGAAAAUCCGUUUGAAGUAUCAAAUGUACAAGAUACUGUUGUACUAUCUCCAACUGCUAAAUACGAUACCACAUAUGAACUGGAAGAAAGGACAUUCAGCAAGAUGAAAAAACGUAGUGUAAUACAGCAACAAAUUACAAGUCCGAUUUCUCAAGACAAUCAGUAUAAACAAAUAGAUUACAAAUCCAUAGGAAAUCCGCAUCUUUCACAACCAAUUAAACUGCAAUUGUGGCUUCAUAUUCCGAGAAAUUGGUUUGGUCCUCGAUCAAAUCCACAAUGUGUUCGAUGGAACUCACACGCAAACUUAUGGACCAGAUUAGGAUGCCAGACAGAUAUCCCUGAAUACGACUUGUUGUCGUUGAACGAUACUAUUUUAAUCAAUUGCACUUGUAGUCAAAUAUCGAGCUUUGCUGUUUUAGUCGAUGUGAUCAAUCCUGAAGAUAUUCCCGAACCUUCGCUAUUGGUACAGAUCACGUCAUAUUCUGCAUUCAUGAUGUCAUUACCAAUAUUGUUUACGGUAAUACUAUCACUGGCGUCACUCCGAGGUCUUCAAACCAAUUCUAACACAAUUCAUCAGAAUUUAUUACUUUGUAUUUUUAUGGCUGAGUUGCUGUUUUUCGUCGGGAUUCAGGCUCGAAAGGAACUCAUCGAUAAUGAGUUUUCAUGCAAAUUAGUGGCAAUCGCACUGCAUUAUGCAUGGCUGGCGGCCUUUGCAUGGACAACGGUGGAUUGUGUUCAUUUAUAUCGUAUGCUGACCGAAAUGCGUGAUAUUAAUCAUGGUCCAAUGGGAUUCUACUACACUUUAGGGUACGGCUCUCCGGCUCUACUAGUUGGACUUUCUGUUGGUGUUCGUGUCCACGAAUAUGGUAACAACGUGUUUUGUUGGUUAUCGGUGUACGAAUCCGUUAUUUGGUGGCUGGUUGGACCGAUUGUAGCAAUGUCAAUUAUAGACCUUCUUAUAUUAUUUUUAUCUGUAAAAGCAGCGUUUACUAUAAAGGACCACGUGUUAGGAUUCGGAAACCUACGUACAUUGUUGUGGCUUUCGGUGGUUUCGCUUCCUUUGAUGGGUAUUAUGUGGGUUUUGGCAGUUUUAGCGGCUUCAGAAAGUUCUCAACUGUUGAAGAUUUCGCUAUCUGCUACAGUUCUAAUUCACGCGUUUUUCUCGGUUAUUGGAUACUGUAUAAUAAAUAAACGUGUUCGAGAAAAUCUACAUCGGACAUUUUUGAAAUGUAUGGGUCGAAAAGUACCUCUGUUAGAUUCGUCUUUAGCAGUGAGCAGCAGCUCUCAGAAUAUAGGUCAAAUGCCGAAAACACCAGGUUUUUCAAAUCAGUAUGAUACAUCACGACGUAACAUGGGAAUAAGUACAUCUAGUACAACAUCUAGAAGUACAACAAAAACUAGCUCGAGUCCUUAUAGAAGCGAUGGUCAAUUUCGUCAUACUUCCACGUCUACUUCAAACUACAAUUCAAAUAGUGAGGGAGUACCAUCUUAUUUGCGAGGCUACGAUAGUGGAGGCAUGCGAAAGAAUACAGAAGGAAAUGACAAUUCAACGCACUAUAAAAAAAGUAAGCGCCAUAAAAGAGAUUCCGAUUCUGGAAGUGAAACUGAUGGUCGUAGUCUAGAAUUGGCUUCGAGUCAUUCGAGUGACGAUGAAGAAUCUCGCGUCGGUCGAAAUAGUAGUACCCAUCGUAGCACAGGUGUUUCCUCGACGUCCUACUUACCGAACAUAACAGAACAUGUGGCCACCACACCACCAGAACUGCAUGUAGUACAAAGUCCACAGUUAUUUCCAAAUAUGAAUGCGUCUCGUUGGUCAAGUCAAGCACCCGAAUCAUAUUUAUCUGGAGCAAAUGUUGGUCGUUGGUCACAAGAGACAGGGUCCGACAAUGAAAUACAUACGCAUAGCUCAGGAAUUGCAAAUACACUUCCCAGUCCAGAUAUUACCGAUACUUCAUAUCUACAUCAGAAUCGAAAGAAUAUAGCUCCUUCCUUACUCGAAAAUAUUCAGGAAAAUUACACAUAUUCUAAUCAGGAUUUGCGAAGUGAUAAAUUUAGUAACAAUGGAAGCGACCAGUGCACAGACGGGUAUAGAGACUAUGAAGGAAAUCACCAACGUAAUACUUUGCCGUAUAUGUCUGGUAGCUUGAAUCAUCGUUCAGGCUCAACACAAUUGAUUAAUCACAUGCGCUCCUAUAAUCACGACAUCCCGUAUGUUCUGAAGGACACGAUAUAUGAUAGAUCCAAUACAUUGGGUUACAAAACAGAAUCGCCGUAUAUGUCUAAAGAGCGUAUAGCAUCUGACUUGUAUAGUCCCCGUACUGACAGUCACGGAUCAUUCAAGGCUAGUGUUCAAUCAUUACUUAAGAACGAUUAUCAACGGCAUAAGCAGGGAGCUGAUUCUGAUCGUAUGUCUGAAGGUUCUGACAAAAAUCCGUACAAUUUUCCUUAUACCGCUGAGGAGGACCACUCCAGCCACUCCGUUGUCAGAUCAAUUGAUUUAGGUAAUUCAGUAAAUUAUCGACUAAAUCUAGGUAGUUCCAUUCAACCGAUGGCUCCAUUGACCAAUGUCAACGAUAGCACCGAAUGGUGUUGGGAUCGAUUGAAAAGUCUUGACUAGACACUGAUAACAAAUUUAUAAUCAUAUGAAUUGUGCAGCAAUAUAUUUAUCAAGGCACACUCCUUAGCUCUAGCUCUCUGUCGAGGGGAAAUGGAUGUUCUUAAUGGAGAAUAAAACAAAUCGACGAGGAAACUACAGUGUAGUGUACCGAAACAUCUCUAUAAAAAGAAACUUGAAUUGUACAAAAUGGCACUCUGUGUUCUCAGGAUUAGUGUUCUCUGAAACUAAACAACUCCUAAGUAAGCUUCUUCAAUUAUAGAAUAGCAUUUAUAUUUUAGAUAUAGAAUAAAAACAACCAGUGGAUUUUUUAAUGUAAAUAUAUUUUUGCUGUCUAUGUUAAGUAAUCCAAAGCUAUUUCGGAGACGCGUCUACGUGCUUUUUAUAGAUUUAUUUAGCAUGUGUAGUAUUUAUUUGAUCAACACCGGUAUACAAAAUUUUUAUAUUGACGAAUUUUAAAACACGUUUUGUGAAAGUAAAAGUCUGAAGUUAGUAGGAGAAUUUUUUCGUAAAGUAAUAUAUCUAGAUAAUAUGAUUUUUAAUACUCGAGUUAACGUAACAUCUAAACCAUAUGCCUUAACAUUGUUCUAAUCUCCUAAAUUUGUCGUCGGCUUGACUCUAUGUUAAACCUAUUCCCUAUUUAAUCAUAACAAAAUCAUUUGAUUUAUAACCAAAAAGCCCAUAAAAACAGAUUCUUUUUGUUCUUGUGUAAAAGACUUAAUUCAUUUAUGUAACUGCUGCUAUAUUCUUCCCCAAAGGCCAAUUUCAUAUUUUUGAAUUCAAUAUUGGAACAAGAAUCCAUUUUAUACUCAUGGCAUUUAAUGAAAAAGUAAUCGAAAUGCGAUACUGUAAAAUGAAUCUAGAAAAUAGCUCAAGUCGAGAAUUGAACAAAUAAACCAAUUGUGACUGAGAUAAGAAAAGAGCAAAUUACUGAUAUAUUAUAUAUAAAAUGAUAUAAAUAAUAAUGGUAAACAUUGAUGAAAUAUAACAUUCCAUUCUUUAGCAUCAAGAAAGUGAUAAAAUAAAAAAUGUUUAACCAUUGAAUUCCAACUCUUUUAAAAACAUGUAUAAAAGACGUGACAUCACAGAUACGUAUUCCGAAUGCUACUUACAUUCUUCAUCAGUGUAUCUAGUUUCAAAUUACUUAGAAACCCGAUACACGGAUGAAGAAUGUAAGUAGCAUUCGAAAUACGUAUCUGUGAUGUGACGUCUUUUAUACAUGUUUUUAAAAGUGUUGUUGUCAUACAUACUGAAAUGUGUAUAGUGACGUGAUAUACUUAUAGUAUAGAAAUCAAUGGUUAAAAUUUUUUUUAUUAUAUCAUAAAUAUUCUACUAAACACUCAGACCCUGUUAAUUAGUAUCAAGAAAGUGCCUAAAGUUUAGGCGAGUUUGAGCGCUUAUUAAAAAAAAUACAACACCAUUAGGAGGCAGCUAGGAAUGGAAAAAUUAUAUACAUAUAUACAUUCUGACACGUAUUAUACGUGAUAUUUAUUACACGAUUUUAGGAAACCAACUUUUUAUCAAACUUUCUAUGCUAGAACAUUGCCAAGAAACGUUUAUAUGUUGGGCAGUUGGUGCCAUAAUCUCUUACCAUGCCAAUUUAAAAUAAAAUCUUAUUUAUUUUGUUUGCUAUGUACCGUAAAGUAUUGCUUGAAAUCUGCACAUGAUAUGAUUCUAAUAUUUAAAAUUAUACCUUCGAGUUUCUUAAUAUUUUAAAAAUUUAAAUUGAAAUCGCUUGUUACAUUCCAACUUUUGUUAUCCAAGGAUAUUAAAAGACUACUUGAACUCAUCGAAGACACUUUUAAAUAUCUCUCUACUAAAAUGUUCAUGUCAAAAAUUUGUUCAAAAAUCCUUAGAUUUAUUAGAAACAAAUUGAGUCCCUAAGUUUUUGACAGAAUAUGAUUUUGAAUAGCUCUACUGUAUCAUAACUUUAUCCGGUUUCCAGUCAUGCCUGGGAAAAAGUAAAUAGAUUUAUAUUUUAAUAUCUGCAAACGUCUGCUUUAUGUGCUACUGUUAGUAGAAAAACCUUUUUUACAGUUCAUAACAUAGACUAUGUAGCCUGAAAAUUGUCGUAUGAAUAAACCAUUGAUAGUUGUCAAACGGAAUUGACCCAGAUUUGCAUGAACAUUUUUUAUGUUCAUUUUAAGCGAACGAGCUAAGUGCUUUAUUUCUAGAAUGCAACAAACGCUUGAGAACGCUAAUAGGAUAGUUCUUUCGAAUUUUCUUAACGAAUGUUUCCAUACAUAACUAUCGAUUUAAAAUGACUUUAUUUGUUGUGAGUAUUGUCAAAAUACGUUUUAACAUGUAAAACAUACCUAUACGAACAAGAAGAGCAUUUUUAUUAACUUUUCUUCGUUCAGUUAAAAGUUUGUUACGGAUUCCAGGUAUAUAUCGAAUCUCGUAAUUUUGUUUUGUUUCAAUUACAGAGGUUUCAAUACCUUAAUAUCAUUCGGCUCUUCGGACCAGAAAACCUUUCUGACCCUAUGUGCAGGAUUGGGAAUCGAACCCAGGUGGACUGCGUGAAAGGCAUUGACUAUCCCAUCACGCUAUACCCGUCCCCAGAUCUCGCAAUCAAAUUCGCUUAGCGAGAGACACCAUUAAACAUCAUUCAUCUUUUGAAUUAAGUAGAUACGUUAGAGGCUUAUGAACUGUAUAUAAAGUAAACUUUUUACCAUAUAAAUAAGGGCAGAAGUAUUUGCCCAUACUACAGUUAAUAGUUCUGUUUUCAUAGCUGAAUAUUUUUACUCGGUUUUGUUCAUAGUUUUGGAAGCCAAAGCUAUAGGCUAAUCACUUCCUACAAUUCCUUGAGAUAAAAGAGCGCCUGUUGCGAAGUUAGAAACGUCCGUGGUAAAAAUAAACUGAUUUUAAAAAUCAGAGUAUUGGGGUAUAUUUCUUCCGGAUAGAAUUUGUUUACACCUUUCGAUGGCAUCUAUAAACUUCAUUGAAUGUGAUAAGGUUUCGCCUUUUUCAAGGGUAUUGGUUAAAUGCUUGGCGAUUGUUGCAAAGUCCUUUAUACAUUUUCGAUAGUAUCCUGGAAUUCCUAGAAAACCUAGGCAGCGACCAUUCUUUUAUAAUUUUUAUCUUUUCUGGGUUUGGCUUAAAACGUUACGUGUCCCAAGAAUGUAAUUUCCUUCUGUAGGAACUUGUUCAUAUAGAAUUGCACUUUCAAAUUGUAUGUUCUCAUUGAUUGUGCUUCACCGGACUGGUAAAAGAAAGUUUAGUUCCUUCUUUCGGAUUAAGUGGUUUGUGGUUCGGUAAGACAGAUCUCGAAUGCGCGUGAAGGUUAAACUGUGUUGGUUUAAAGUGGUCUAAGAUAUGAUGAUUGGUGUAAGGGACUAAAUUGAGGUAUUCCUGGAGGUGGUAUGUGCCGUAAAAAUGCUCCUAAUGGAGACACGGGUGGUACUAUUGGCGGUUGUAUUUUCACGAGAGCUCUCUCGUAAUGAUAAUUUCCUUCUUUAAACACAAUCGCAACGCUCAAUGUUCUAAGACCUUGUGCUGUAAUCGUUGGCCUUAACGGCUCUUUAAGAUCGGAUAAAAAUACGCGUAGUCCUAGUUCUUGGUAAAAAGUAUUUUUUGCUGCUUUUAUCUUGCUGAAAUUCAGGAGGUUUAACAAAAGCGAAAUUGAGUGCGUAAAAUUUUUCCACCGAGCUUGUCAGCAGCUGUUUGUAAAAGUCUUGUGUUAGAGAAAAUUUGUCUCCCUUGUCUAAGUAGUGUGCGAUCAGUGUGUUUUUUCGUCUGUCCAAUCAAGUGAGGUACCGUAAAUUUAUAAUGCUGUAUCGGCGUCACCCACAAUUUUCGUGCGGAUGGCUUGCAUCCACACCGUAUAUUGGUGUUGCUUUCGCCUCUUGUAACAAAGGCAUCACGUUGUCUAUGACUGAUAAAGCUAUGCAAUUUGACGGGAAUUCUAUCAUAAUUAUAGGUUCCGAAUAAUUUGUGGAGUUUGAAAAUUUUUAAUAUUUUUUCCUAAGUUAGAAAUAAAGCUAUAAAUUUGGGUAUUCACGCGUGCCUGUGCGGCGGUCGCUGCGGUUUGUGCAUAUAUGGCUUCGAAAUGUAGCUCUUGAAUGUGAUGGUUCAACAUUAAAAAUCCUAUGUAAAUUUCAGAUUUGCUAUACGUUAGAAACAUUACUGCCACCUACUCAAUUGCUCGCCGCGAGCUUUCAAAACGUUCCACUACGUUCCAGAUCGAUAAGGAAAUUCUCAUGCCUGAAAUAUUCCAACUACAAUUUAAACACUUCUCCCACGAUUUCCCAAAGUGUAAAAGAUCAUUUUAUUUCGAUGUCGGUUGGAUAACAAUAAAUAACGAUGUCGUUUGAAUUCAAUCGGAAUAAAACAAAAAUAAACUAGUCAUUUUAACCAACAGCACCCAAAAAAUGCGGUACUACUAGAUUUUACACAAAAUUGGCAUAAACUCACACAAUAAGGUGGAUGAGCAUAGUUUGAUGAUUAUCAAUGGUGUGUUUACAUAUUCAUUUAAAUUUGAUCUUGUAGUAAAUAUAUUUAAUUAUAUCAUUGAAAAAAAUCUAUUGUAAAGAGCGAGAUUCACUAUAUUCGAUGCAGUGUUAUAUAGAUGAUAGGGAUAGAAAACCGCUGUAACAAGCUUGAACUAACCCAGUGUAAUAUGAUUUAAGUGAAAGCAAAGUGAAAAGUAAUACAUUGUUUGCUACAAAAUUUAGGUUUAACUAGCAUUUAAUUGUGUAUCGAAUAUAAUUUUUAAUUUUGUACGAGCAGAUGAAGUAAGGCAAGGUUGGUGAUUUUUAAAAAAUGUUACAUUAAAAUUUGGGUUUUCGUAAUAAAUACAUGUGUCUUGUGGAGAAAACA